ACAAGCGGUGGAGUAUGUGGUUUAAUUCGAUGCAACGCGAAGAACCUUACCUGGUCUUGACAUCCCGGAGACCCUUAGGAAACUAGGGGGUGCUUCCAUCUGGAAGAAUCUGGAGACAGGUGCUGCAUGGCUGUCGUCAGCUCGUGUCGUGAGAUGUUGGGUUAAGUCCCGCAACGAGCGCAACCCUUGCCUUUUAGUUGCCAGCAGUUCGGCUGGGCACUCUAAAGGGACUGCCGGUGUUAAACCGGAGGAAGGUGGGGAUGACGUCAAGUCCUCAUGGCCUUUAUGACCAGGGCUACACACGUACUACAAUGGCCGAUACAAAGGGCAGCGACACUGCGAGGUGAAGCCAAUCCCGUAAAAUCGGUCUCAGUCCGGAUUGGAGUCUGCAACUCGACUCCAUGAAGUUGGAAUCGCUAGUAAUCGUGGAUCAGCAUGCCACGGUGAAUACGUUCCCGGGCCUU
rnacentral:rRNA from 1 species